rnacentral:rRNA from 1 species
UACCUGGUAGUCCACGCUGUAAACGAUGUCGACUUGGAGGUUGUUCCCUUGAGGAGUGGCUUCCGGAGCUAACGCGUUAAGUCGACCGCCUGGGGAGUACGGCCGCAAGGUUAAAACUCAAAUGAAUUGACGGGGGCCCGCACAAGCGGUGGAGCAUGUGGUUUAAUUCGAUGCAACGCGAAGAACCUUACCUACUCUUGACAUCCAGAGAACUUAGCAGAGAUGCUUUGGUGCCUUCGGGAACUCUGAGACAGGUGCUGCAUGGCUGUCGUCAGCUCGUGUUGUGAAAUGUUGGGUUAAGUCCCGCAACGAGCGCAACCCUUAUCCUUUGUUGCCAGCGGUUCGGCCGGGAACUCAAAGGAGACUGCCAGUGAUAAACUGGAGGAAGGUGGGGAUGACGUCAAGUCAUCAUGGCCCUUACGAGUAGGGCUACACACGUGCUACAAUGGCAUAUACAAAGAGAAGCGACCUCGCGAGAGCAAGCGGACCUCAUAAAGUAUGUCGUAGUCCGGAUCGGAGUCUGCAACUCGACUCCGUGAAGUCGGAAUCGCUAGUAAUCGUGGAUCAGAAUGCCACGGUGAAUACGUUCCCGGGCCUUGUACACACCGCCCGUCACACCAUGGGAGUGGGUUGCAAAAGAAGUAGGUAGCUUAAC